CGCGUAGGCGGACUGGAAAGUUGGAGGUGAAAUCCCAGGGCUUAACCUUGGGGCUGCAUUUGAUACGUGUAGACUAGAGUGUGAGAGAGGGUUGUGGAAUUCCCAGUGUAGAGGUGAAAUUCGUAGAUAUUGGGAAGAACACCGGUGGCGAAGGCGGCAACCUGGCUCAUUACUGACGCUGAGGCGCGAAAGCGUGGGGAGCAAACAGGAUUAGAUACCCUUGUA
rnacentral:rRNA from 1 species